rnacentral:rRNA from 1 species
CAGGCCUAACACAUGCAAGUCGAACGAAGGCUUCGGCCUCAGUGGCGCACGGGUGCGUAACGCGUGGGAAUCUGCCCCUUGGUUCGGAAUAACAGUUAGAAAUGACUGCUAAUACCGGAUAACGACGUAAGUCCAAAGAUUUAUCGCCGAGGGAUGAGCCCGCGUAGGAUUAGCUAGUUGGUGUGGUAAAGGCGCACCAAGGCGACGAUCCUUAGCUGGUCUGAGAGGAUGAUCAGCCACACUGGGACUGAGACACGGCCCAGACUCCUACGGGAGGCAGCAGUGGGGAAUAUUGGACAAUGGGCGAAAGCCUGAUCCAGCAAUGCCGCGUGAGUGAUGAAGGCCUUAGGGUUGUAAAGCUCUUUUACCCGGGAUGAUAAUGACAGUACCGGGAGAAUAAGCUCCGGCUAACUCCGUGCCAGCAGCCGCGGUAAU